CCUGGUGGCUCAGACGGUAAAGCGUCUGCCUGCAGUGUGGGAGACCCAGGUUCGAUUCCUGGGUCAGGA
rnacentral:tRNA from 1 species